rnacentral:sRNA from 5 species
UGUAUCUGAAGUCUGACGAGGAUGAGAACCUCCGGGGGCAAGAGGUUCGACUCGAGCGAAGCGAGAGAACGUUGCGUCAGCAACGGCCCGCAGAGCGAGCCACGCAGUGGCGAGUCAUCCUCUAUCACCGACCA